rnacentral:rRNA from 1 species
UAAUACGGAGGAUGCGAGCGUUAUCCGGAUUUAUUGGGUUUAAAGGGUGCGUAGGCGGUUUAUUAAGUUAGUGGUUAAAUAUUUGAGCUAAACUCAAUUGUGCCAUUAAUACUGGUAAACUGGAGUACAGACGAGGUAGGCGGAAUAAGUUAAGUAGCGGUGAAAUGCAUAGAUAUAACUUAGAACUCCGAUAGCGAAGGCAGCUUACCAGACUGUAACUGACGCUGAUGCACGAGAGCGUGGGUAGCGAACAGGAUUAGAUACCCUGGUAGUCCACGCCGUAAACGAUGCUCACUGGUUCUGUGCGAUAUAUUGUACGGGAUUAAGCGAAAGUAUUAAGUGAGCCACCUGGGGAGUACGUCGGCAACGAUG